UUUACCCUGCAGUGCUCGUGUAUCGAAACGUAGUCCUUGGACCGUAAUCAAAAAAUAAAUGGAGUGGUAGCCUUCGGUUGGGCGGCCGACAGGCCUUUACUGGAAGUCGAAUGUCGCCAGGUGAGCUCCCCUUGUUAUAAUCCUGUUCAUAGGAUCUGUUCCCCACGACACAUGCGGGGUUUUU
rnacentral:other from 1 species